UAUUCCAAGCAGUUAUUUCUCUUGUUCUUAUUGUAAAAUUGAUUUUUAUUUCAUAGCACGUAAUAGAAGCCAUCUAUAACGUGAAAUAUAUAUCAACUUUGUAAAAAAGAGCAAGCAGUUCCAUUGGGAGACACAUCAAAACGUUCGAAACGCAAAAGCGAAGCGAUUUACAAAACAUUUCAUCGAGAAAGACAAGAUCGAGAGAAUCGUGAGCUGUACGCAAUGAUGCCAUCACCAAAAGGUUCACAGUGGCUGAGCUAUAUUAAGCAUCGAGUUAAGAUGACCAAACAUGGAAUCGAAGCUUACUCGAAUGCAAAGUACACUAAACUCGCCUUGGACAAAUACAUUAGGAGCAACAAAGCUAUCGACGGAUUUGUGAACAAGAUCACCAAUAAGGAUCCGACUCUGUUAUUCCAUGGUGCUGAUGGCGAAGUACCACCUGAUUGCCCGAUGAGAAUUAAAAAACACGUGCGGUGUCCGGGUGUACGCAAACUGAUGCAGGCAUAUAAGAAGCAACCAUACAUUGUUGUCGUGCCGGUGGACGAAUAGGGAACAUCUCAAACAGACGCAAGAUGUAUGUGCCGAUUCCAAAACCAACCCAAAUCGGCUAAAUUCAAGAUGUGUCGGUGCAUACUCAACGCCAUAACACUGCUGCCAACCAAAAUUGUGUCUAAGUUUGGCAAGACAGAUACAUCUACAUAUCGACAGUUACAACGCACAUUGAACAGAGCAUUUGAAAUAGAAGAGGAGCUAAUGUCAAGAGUAAAACCUUACUACAAAAAAUGGCAAUUAGACCUCGAAUGCACCGUGACUUGGCAUCGUGACGUCGUGUCUGCUAAGAACAUUCUACUGAAAGGACUAUGGACAUUGCUUGGACUUCCAAUACCUGCUGCAAUCAACCGAUAUUGGAAUCAAAUCAACGCCGAUGCCGCCGUCUUCGACGACGAUAACGACGUGGACAUAUCCGAAACCGAGUUCGAAUAGCAGCCAACUAAUCAUCACAAUACCAUACAAUAAAAUAAAAUAAAUCAUAAUUAA